AUUAAGCCAUGCAUGUCUAAGCACAUGCCUUAAUACGGUGAAGCCGCGAAUAGCUCAUUACAACAGCCACCGUUUACUAGAAUAUAGUUAUCCUACUUGGAUAACUGUGGCAAUUCUAGAGCUAAUACAUGCAAAAGAGCUCUGCCCGCAAGGAACGAGCGCAUUUAUUAGAAUAAAAACCAAUCGGGUCUCGGCCCGUAAAUUUGGUGAAUCUGAAUAACUUUGCCAAUCGCACGGUCCUAGUACCGGCGAUGUAUCUUUCAAGUGUCUGCCUUAUCAACUUUCGAUGGUAGGUUAUACGCCUACCAUGGUAGUAACGGGUAACGGAGAAUAAGGGUUCGACUCCGGAGAGGGAGCCUGAGAAACGGCUACCACAUCCAAGGAAGGCAGCAGGCGCGCAAAUUACCCACUUCCAGUACGGAGAGGUAGUGACGAAAAAUAACGAGACAGUUCUCUUCGAGGUCUGUCAUCGGAAUGGGUACAAUUUAAAUCCUUUAACGAGGAUCUAUUGGAGGGCAAGUCUGGUGCCAGCAGCCGCGGUAAUUCCAGCUCCAAUAGCGUUAUAUUAAAGUUGUUGCGGUUAAAAAGCUCGUAGUUGGAUCUGCGCUUUCGGCCUCGGUCCACCCAAAGGGUGCGAACUGAGAGCCAAAGCUAAUACUGCUGGUUUUCCCUUGAUGCUCUUCACCGAGUGUCUUGGGUGGCUAGCGAGUUUACUUUGAAAAAAUUAGAGUGCUCAAAACAGGCUUUAAGCCUGAAUAGUGGUGCAUGGAAUAAUAGAAUAGGACCUUGGUUCUAUUUUGUUGGAUUUCGGAACUAAGAUAAUGGUUAAGAGGGACAGACGGGGGCAUUCGUAUCGCUGCGUGAGAGGUGAAAUUCUUGGACCGCAGCGAGACGCCCUACUGCGAAAGCAUUUGCCAAGAAUGUCUUCGUUAAUCAAGAACGAAAGUCAGAGGUUCGAAGGCGAUCAGAUACCGCCCUAGUUCUGACCGUAAACGAUGCCAACUAGUGAUCCGUCGGUGGUAAUUACGCCCCGACGGGGAACUUCCCGGAAACGAAAGUCUUCCGGUUCCGGGGGAAGUAUGGUUGCAAAGCUGAAACUUAAAGGAAUUGACGGAAGGGCACCACCAGGAGUGGAGCCUGCGGCUUAAUUUGACUCAACACGGGAAAACUCACCCGGCCCGGACACUGUAAGGAUUGACAGAUCGAGAGCUCUUUCUUGAUUCGGUGGUUGGUGGUGCAUGGCCGUUCUUAGUUGGUGGAGCGAUUUGUCUGGUUUAUUCCGAUAACGAACGAGACUCCGGCCUACUAAAUAGUGACUGGAUCUUUUAGUCCAGUAUACUUCUUAGAGGGACAAGUGGCGUUUAGCCACAUGAAAUGGAGCAAUAACAGGUCUGUGAUGCCCUUAGAUGUCCGGGGCUGCACGCGCGCUACACUGGAGGAGGCAGCGUGCUAAACCAUUGCCGAAAGGCAUUGGUAAACCCAUGAAAAUCCUCCGUGAUCGGGAUCGGGAAUUGCAAUUAUUUCCCUUGAACGAGGAAUUCCCAGUAAGUGUGGGUCAUAAGCUCGCGCUGAUUACGUCCCUGCCCUUUGUACACACCGCCCGUCGCUGCCCGGGACUGAGCCGUUUCGAGAAAAGCGGGGACUGCUGUUGUCGAGGGUUUCGGCCCUUGGCUUCUGGUGGAAACCGCUUUAAUCGCAGUGGCU
rnacentral:rRNA from 1 species